rnacentral:rRNA from 1 species
GAUGAACGCUGGCGGCGUGCUUAACACAUGCAAGUCGAACGGAAAGGCCCCAGCUUGCUGGGGUACUCGAGUGGCGAACGGGUGAGUAACACGUGGGUGAUCUGCCCUGCACUUUGGGAUAAGCUUGGGAAACUGGGUCUAAUACCGAAUAUGACCACUUCUUGGGUGUUGUGGUGGAAAGCUUUUGCGGUGUGGGAUGAGCCUGCGGCCUAUCAGCUUGUUGGUGGGGUAAUGGCCUACCAAGGCGGCGACGGGUAUCCGGCCUGAGAGGGUGUACGGACACAUUGGGACUGAGAGACGGCCCAGACUCCUGCGGGAGGCAGCAGUGGGGAAUAUUGCACAAUGGGCGCAAGCCUGAUGCAGCGACGCCGCGUGGGGGAUGAAGGCCUUCGGGUUGUAAACUCCUUUCGCUAUCGACGAAGCCACUUGUGGUGACGGUAGGUAGAUAAGAAGCACCGGCUAACUACGUGCCAGCAGCCGCAGUAA